rnacentral:lncRNA from 1 species
AUCUAUCUAUCUAUCUAUCUAUCUAUCUAUCUAUCUAUCUAUCUAUCUAUCUAUCUAUCUAUCUAUCUAUCUAUCUAUGUGGCAUUUAUACCCCGCCUAUCUGGUCAGAUGACCACUCUUGUUUACUGCCUUACACCAGUAAGGCAGUAAACAAAAGCUACACCAAGAAACCUACAUCCAAAGCAGUAAGGUGCAACAAUAUUUUUUUAAAACCCCACGUAGGCAGCUAAUCAUUAAGGGAAAAACUUGCCUGGAGAGAAAGAUCUUCACUGGAUGGCAGAAAGAGAGCAAAGAUGGGGCCAGUCUGGCCUCCAGUGGGAGGGAGUUCCAGAGUCUGGGAGCAGCCGCAGAGAAGGCCCUCUCUCUUAUGUCCACACCAAACACAACAGUGAAGGUGGUGGGACUGAGAAAAGAGCCUAGAACGCAGGGUCCCAAAUCCAGAUUUUCUCAGCUCUUGAUACCAUUUUAUUUCUCCUACGCCCAGGGUUAGCACCAAAAGCCAGCUAAUCAACUUAAGAGAAGAAGGCUAUUCAGAUCAGCUGAUGGACAAGGCCAGGCCCGAGAUUACUGUGAAGGAUUGGUUUUACACCCCCUUCCUGGCGCAUUGUCAACUGCGGGUGAGGCUGCUCUCGGCCGAUUUCGAGGUUCUCCGGGAAUGCUGGCUAACGAGCAACAAUGAAGAAUGGAAUGAGGUGAGAAAAAAUGGGAGUGGGCGAGGGGUCCCCCAUCUGGUAAUGACCCUCUCACCCCCAGUGAUGUGUGCAUGUCUCCAUCUGGCUUACGCCCAGAUCGGUCGUGCUGGGUGCAACUGUGUGUUUUGAAUCUCACACCCUUCCUGCCAAACGUCCAGAAGAAUCCGUGAUGUUUGAAAAGUCUGGAUCCCAAAGAGCAGCGUUCUGAAUCCCCCUUACCUGCCCAAAUUCAGUAAUGUGACCUUUUCCAUCUCGGCCUCCUUCUAAUUAAUGCAAUUAGCUUUUACAUCCCUUCGUUUCUUUCCCGUUCCAGUGCUGGAAUUAAGAGCCGGCCACUCCCUCUUUCGUUUCCAGGUUUCCUACACCUUUGACGAUUACCCUCCUGGCGUCUGCUACAUUGAUCUGGAACAUGAAGUGCAAUACCGGUUUGGGGGAAAAAUAACCAACACCACAAUCAUCCUUGAUCCAGAAAGGAGUGAGAGAAACAUCAUUC